UACGAAGGGGGCUAGCGUUGUUCGGAAUUACUGGGCGUAAAGGGCUCGUAGGCGGCCAACUAAGUCGGAUGUGAAAUCCCCAGGCUUAACCUGGGAACUGCAUCCGAUACUGGAUGGCUUGAAUUCGGGAGAGGGAUGCAGAAUUCCAGGUGUAGCGGUGAAAUGCGUAGAUAUCUGGAGGAAUACCGGUGGCGAAGGCGGCAUCCUGGACCGAGAUUGACGCUGAUGAGCGAAAGCUAGGGGAGCAAACGGG
rnacentral:rRNA from 1 species